rnacentral:rRNA from 1 species
UAGGGAAUCUUCCGCAAUGGACGCAAGUCUGACGGAGCAACGCCGCGUGAGUGAAGAAGGAUUUCGGUUCGUAAAACUCUGUUGUUAGAGAAGAACAGCGCAUAGAGUAACUGUUAUGCGUGUGACGGUAUCUAACCAGAAAGCCACGGCUAACUACGUGCCAGCAGCCGCGGUAAUACGUAGGUGGCAAGCGUUAUCCGGAAUUAUUGGGCGUAAAGCGCGCGUAGGCGGUUUUUUAAGUCUGAUGUGCAAGCCCACGGCUCAACCGUGGAGGGUCAUUGGAAACUGGAAAACUUGAGUGCAGAAGAGGAAAGUGGAAUUCCAUGUGUAGCGGUGAAAUGCGCAGAGAUAUGGAGGAACACCAGUGGCGAAGGCGACUUUCUGGUCUGUAACUGACGCUGAUGUGCGAAAGCGUGGGGAUCAAACAGG